rnacentral:tRNA from 2 species
GCUGCCGCAGCUCAGGUCGAGCACUCCCUUGGUAAGGGAGAGGUCGACAGUUCAAUCCUGUCCGGCAGCACCA